rnacentral:rRNA from 1 species
UACGAGAGGUGCAAGCGUUGUCCGGAUUUAUUGGGCGUAAAGCGUUUCUAAAGGCGCUUUUAUAAGUUAUCUUUCAAAGACCGAAGCUUAACUUCGGGAAGGGAGAUAAUACUGUAAGAGUUGGAAUAUUUCGGGGUUACUGGAACUGUCGGUGUAGGGGUGAAAUCCGUUGAUAUCGAUAGGAACUCCAAGGGCGAAGGCAGGUAACUAGGAAUUUUUCGACGCUGAUGAACGAAAGCUAGGGGAGCGAAAGGG